rnacentral:rRNA from 1 species
AUUGAACGCUGGCGGCAUGCUUUACACAUGCAAGUCGAACGGCAGCGCGGGCUUCGGCCUGGCGGCGAGUGGCGAACGGGUGAGUAAUGCAUCGGAACGUGCCCAGUAGUGGGGGAUAGCCCGGCGAAAGCCGGAUUAAUACCGCAUACGACCUGAGGGUGAAAGCGGGGGACCGAAAGGCCUCGCGCUAUUGGAGCGGCCGAUGUCGGAUUAGCUAGUUGGUGGGGUAAAGGCUUACCAAGGCGAGGAUCCGUAGCUGGUCUGAGAGGACGACCAGCCACACUGGGACUGAGACACGGCCCAGACUCCUACGGGAGGCAGCAGUGGGGAAUUUUGGACAAAGGGGGCAACCCUGAUCCAGCCAUGCCGCGUGCGGGAAGAAGGCCUUCGGGUUGUAAACCGCUUUUGUUCGGGAAGAAAUCCUCUGGGCUAAUACCCCGGGGGGAUGACGGUACCGGAAGAAUAAGCACCGGCUAACUACGUG